rnacentral:lncRNA from 10 species
AUUAAUCCUCUUUUCUUUAUAAAUUACUCAGUCUCAGUUGAUUCUUUAUAGCAGCAUGAGAAUGGACUAAUACAUUUCCCUUUAGUCACACUGUUUCAAACUCUGGAAAUUCCUUCCAUCUCAUCAUUACAUGUGUUAGUUCUAUCUAUUCUUCAAGUCCCAGUUCAUGUAAUGAUUAACUUAAACAGAAUUAUCUCUACAACCACCAUGAAGGUCAAGAAAUAGGACACUGUGAGCAUUCUAGAAGCCUGUAUGUGAUCUGUACUUUCUUAAUCAUAUCCCCCUUGUUCUUCCUUGGAGGCAACAUCUAGAGUCUCUUCUGGCUUUUAUUAUAACAGUACUCUUCCAUGAAAUAAAGUCCACUUGAGGAUAAGAGUUAAAGGAACUGAGGUGAUGGUCUGGUUCCAUCACCCAGGCUGGACGGGAGUAGCACAAUCUCGGCUCACUGCAACCUCCACCUCCCAGGCUCAAGUGACUCUCCAACCUCAGCCUCCUGAGUAGCUGGGAAUGCAGAUGUGUGCCACCACGCCUGGCUAAUUUUUAUUGUUUCUUAUUUUCUUUGUAGAGAUGGGGUUUUGCCAUGUUGCUGAGGCUGGUCUGAAACUCCUGAGCUCAAGCAAUCCUUCUGCCUUGGUCUCCCAAAGUGUUGGGAUUACAGGUGUGAGCCACCACACCCGGCCAGUACAUAAAGUUCUGUAAGAAUUUCUUUGAGGAGAAAGCCCCCAGGUGUUAUUAUAGUCAGUGUGUGUUUGUGUGUAUGAUGCAAUAAAAAUGGAAAAAUAAUGAGUGGA